rnacentral:rRNA from 1 species
AUUUAGUCAAUUGUUAUUAUUCAUAUUAAUUUUUUUUUAUGUUUUGUUUUUUUAUGUGUGUUUAUUUAUUUAAAAUUUUAUAAUUAUUAAAUUUUAGGAAUAGUUAAUAAUAAUUUAUGAUUUUGAUUAGAUAGGUUUGUUAAUGCUAUAUAAUAGGUGUGGAAAAAAUUAAAAAUAAAAGAAAUAAUAAAUAUAAUAAAUAAAAUAUAAUUAGUCAGUCAGAAAUGGAUGCCAGCCGUUGCGGUAAUUUCUAUGCUUUUAAAUAUUAUACAUUUAUCAAAUUAAAUUGUUAUAAUCAAAUUUAACCAAUAAAAAAUAAAUAAUAAUAUAUUUUAUUUGUUUUAAACACCAUUUGGUAUAUGCAAAUAUAAAAUUAUAGUAAUUAUAUAUUAUAUUCUAUUAUAUUUAUUCAUAUAGAUAGUUGUGUUGUAUUUUUUAUAUUUGACACCAUGAUAAGGUUUCUAGUUUGGGUAUGUAUAUUUCAUUCUCAAAAAUAUUUUUUUAUAUUAAAUUUUUGAUAUGUAGAUAAAAUAUUAAAUUAAAAGGUAUUGUUGCCCACCAAUUUUUAUAAUAAAAAUAACGUGCAGUAAUUAAUAUAUUUAUAAAAUAUAUUCGAUA